rnacentral:misc_RNA from 1 species
UUAAAAUCCUAAAUAGAAUAGGAAGCUAAAAUGGAGUAGGAAAAUACUAAAAUAAAAUCCCAAUUAGAAUAGGAAACACUAAAACUGGAAAAUUCAGCUCUGCUUCAUACUUCCUUGUUUAAAAAACUCGUCCUUGAGUUAGAACAGCUUGCAACGAUCCGACAAUGUUGUACCGACAAUUCACAUACCAUUCUCUCCCACUUAAAACUUUUCCUCGGAUUUUGAGGUGUUGAAGAAUAAAAAACUUUAUAGGAUCAAUACACCACAUUGCCUUUGUAAAGUUUUUAGAGAGAA